rnacentral:rRNA from 1 species
GACAGAGGGUGCAACCGUUGUUCGGAAUUACUGGGCGUAAAGCGCGUGUAGGCGGCUAUGUAAGUCGGGCGUGAAAUCCCACGGCUCAACCGUGGAAGUGCACCCGAAACUGCGUAGCUAGAGUCCUGGAGAGGAAGGUGGAAUGCUUGGUGUAGAGGUGAAAUUCGUAGAUAUCAAGCGGAACACCGGUGGCGAAGGCGGCCUUCUGGACAGUGACUGACGCUGAGACGCGAAAGCGUGGGGAGCAAACAGG